CGCAUCUGUGCAUGCAGCAUAUCAAUAAGCGGAGGAAAAGAGACUAACAAGGAUUCCCUAGUAACGGCGAGUGAAGCGGGAAGAGCUCAAAUUUGAAAUCUUCAAGGUUUUACCUUGACGAAUUGUAGUUUAAAGAAGUGUUUUCUGCUGAAGUUUUGGUAAAAGUUCUUUGGAAUAGGACAUCAUAGAGGGUGAGGAAUCCCGUAUUUGACCAUUAUUUUCAGCUUUGUGAUACACUUUCAAAGAGUCGGAUUGUUUGGGAAUGCAGUCCAAAAUGGGUGGUAAAUUUCAUCUAAAGCUAAAUAUUGGCGAGAGACCGAUAGCGAACAAGUACCGUGAGGGAAAGAUGAAAAGAACUUUGAAAAGAGAGUUAAACAGUACGUGAAAUUGUCAAAAGGGAAGCGUUUGACACCAGUGUUGUUUUCUCGAAAAUCAAUUAAAAAUGAGUUAGAUUUUGUAUGUGUAUUGACCUUAACAGCUUGCACUGUACAUUUUCGUGUCUUUUUUAAUGCACUUUUCGUUUAACAAGUCAACAUCAGUUUCUUUUGUUGUAAAAGGGUCAUUGGAAGGUGGCUUUCUUUUCGGAGAAAGUGUUUAUAGCCUUUGGCCUCUGCAAUCGAAGAGACUGAGGUCUGCAGCGUAGACUCUUCGGGGUUAGAUACAUUUGUGCUAAGUUAUAGCUUUUUAUAGACAACUUGUUGACUAUAAUUAGUCUUGUAGCUUACUCGCUUAUGCUAUUUUACCUACGCUUAGGAUGUUGAUAGUCACAGCGUGUAC
rnacentral:rRNA from 1 species